CACACGGUUUGUUCAAGACUAAAGAAUAAAAAGAGCUGAUACUGGGGAUAGGAGCGGCCACUGUUAUAAGUGAGACGUUGGGAAGGUAGGAUAUAUAAGGUUAUUUCAUUUAUAUCUGUAAGCAAUGAGAAACGAUUGCUUGACGAAAGACGAUUCGGAGCGCAGUUCGGUUAAACAUAUUUUUUGCGAUUUUCGUUUAAAUUUGAUUUU